GAUGAAGAACGUAGCGAAAUGCGAUAAGUAAUGUGAAUUGCAGAAUUCAGUGAAUCAUCGAAUCUUUGAACGCACAUUGCGCCCCCUGGUAUUCCGGGGGGCAUGCCUGUUCGAGCGUCAUUAUAACCCUCAAGCUCAGCUUGGUGUUGGGCCUCCGUCCUCCUCCCGGGGGACGGGCCCGAAAGGCAGCGGCGGCACCGCGUCCGGUCCUCGAGCGUAUGGGGCUUCGUCACCCGCUCUUGUAGGCCCGGCCGGCGCUUGCCGACACAUCAAUCUUUUUUCCAGGUUGACCUCGGAUCAGGUAGGGAUACCCGCUGAACUUAAGCAUAUCAAUAAGCGGAGGA
rnacentral:misc_RNA from 1 species